rnacentral:lncRNA from 1 species
AAUACGAGUUUUUGAAAAGUUUUAAAGGCAGGUGAAAGACUUCUCUUUCAAAAUCUGUGUUUGCCAAUACCCACUCAGCAGCGAGCUCCGAAGGCCGGGGAAUGCCCCUUCGGCCGGUGAGCAGUGCUGCUGCAAACAGCUGUUCAUUAUCACAGCGCCACAGCAUCGUCAAGUGUCUGCAGUAUUAAAGUAAAUCCUUGCCUCUCUGACCCCUGCCAGAUCCAGUCAUCCAAGAGAUGGCUCCUGAGAUACAUCUCAACAAGCUGCGUGAAAAACACGAACUUGAUAGUCCAGCUGUUACCAAAUGGGAAACUUCCUAUUAUUCCAAGAAAAACCAGACUCUGCAAUCUCUGCAAUAAAUAUUGGAGUAAUGUAACCCAUCGGGAGGCCUGGAGAGACUGCAAUACCUUGGGAAUAUGCUGUCAGACGGAGCUUCUGUGAGCUGUGGCAGACUGGGACUCCCUCUGGUCAAGACCCCACUCAGCCUACACUCAAUGGACUGGAAUGCAUACAGAGGUAGUGAGUCUACUCAAUUCUGGAAUGACAAUCCUGCAAGAAACAUUAAGAAAUCAUGCACUGCACCCUCAGCUCUCCUCAAGACCAUGGUAGAGACUGGUACCAUUCCAGAGUUUGGUGAUGAGGGUGAUGGUUGAAGAAUUAAUAUGAACCCCUCUCGAUAAGUCCUGCAACUGUCUUCAGGAUGUGGGGGUAUAGUUCUACUAUUCUCAGCAUUAGACUUCAGUGAAAUUUCAAGGUAAAUAUCAUUCAACAUCAUUUUAUAUUAUAUUUAAGUUUCAGAGAGGUUCUAUGAAAUAUUAUAAUGAGAAAGAUUUAACUUAUAUUAUGAGGCCAGCAAAAUUGUUUCUGGAAAUUUGUAAGAUUUGUAAAAUUUGAUCUGAGAAGGGAAAGGUGAUCUGGAGUUAUCUGCAGGAGAAUGGGGAGAGAAAAUAACUUCACAGGUCCAUUGUGAUGUGAGAGAAGAUGAUAUUGGUUAUAUUUUAUAAAGACAUCUCAGGUAGUCCAAUGGAGAAGAAAUUUAAGCAGUAUGUAUAAGUGGGAGGCUUUUUCAAUCAUCCAGACUAGAGGUAUAAGAGUAUUGGUGCAAUGGAGAUGAAGACAAC